AUUGAACGCUGGCGGCAGGCCUAACACAUGCAAGUCGAGCGAGCGGCGGACGGGUGAGUAAUGUAUGGGGACUGCCCGAUAGAGGGGGAUAACUACUGGAAACGGUGGCUAAUACCGCAUACUAUCGGAUAACCCAUAUGGGAUUAGCUAGUAGGUCAGGUAAUGGCUUACCUAGGCGACGAUCCCUAGCUGGGCUGCGAGGAGGAUCAGACACACUGGUACUGAGAAACGGCCCAGAGUCCUACGGAGGCAGAAGUGGGGAAUAUUGCACAAUGGGCGCAAGCCUGAUGCAGCCAUGCCGCGUGUAUGAAGAAGGCCCGAGGGUUGUAAAGUACUUUCAGUCGGGAGGCGUUACCGACAGAAGAAGCACCGGCUAACUCCGUGCCAGCAGCGGCGGUAAUUC
rnacentral:rRNA from 1 species